rnacentral:lncRNA from 1 species
GCUCACGUAAAAAACCACACUCCUCAAACACCACGAUGCCUUCCUCUAUAGUGGAGCUUUGAACUCCCAUUCUUCAUUGCAAUGACUUGCCUUCUCUGAUGGCGAUUUGAACUUGGACACCCACUCUACACAUCUUGUGAAUUUUUCUUGUCUUAGGGUUUGUUCUCCUUCUUAUCAAGGUAAGUUAUUGAUCAUUUUUUCUUGGAGUUUAACUUUUAUCAUUGUAGAAUUUUCUUUGAAAAUCAAAUUAGGAACAUACAAUUUGGAAAUUUUCAAUUAUUGAAGGAAAAAUGUAUCCAUUUUCCUUUUAUUUUAAGGUAUAAUGCUAAAUUUUAUGAAUGUGGUAAAUACACGACCCUUUGCCUAACGUGACUCUUAUUUUUUUCUCUUCUCUGUUUUUAGUGUUUUUCAUCCAUUUUCUAUUUUUUUGUUUAUAUUUUCUUUUGGAUAUGCGAUUCAUUACUAUUUUUUGGUUGAAGUUUGACUUUUUUUUGAACAAUUUUAAGCUCUUUAGGUAGUUUUAUGAUAUUUGGAUAACUUUUUUUAGAAAAUAGUUGGAUGUCUUUUGUUGUGGAAUGAAAUAGUUUAUCAUUUGUCCUACUGUUCAUGUUAUUUAUUAUGUGAAUUUUAGGCCAAUUUGGCUUCUGUAUGAUUGUUAUAUUGUACAAAUUGUAGAAUUUGGUAUGCUGAAUAUCUUCUAUAAAAUACAGAUGCAUUCAUGCUUAAUAAGGAUAUGUUUGACAUAUAAUGUUUUUGCUUUUCAACUCUACCAUUAUUAGAUUUUGAUAAAGUUAUAUGAGUUACCUAUUUUAGUGUAUCUGAUUGAUUAUAGAUUGAAAGAAUUGUUAGAAUCACUUGUAAAACAUUGAGAUGUCGUUGCUGAAAUGUCAUACAUAUAGAUGAUUGUGAAAUUAUAUGCUUACUGAUCAUAGUUCUUGCUCCCUAGCUUAUUAAAAUAUUAAGUUGUUUAUUGAACAUUAAAUCUUCUAAUUGAGUGUCAUUUUAUAUCUUUUGAUAACACUUCUUCUCAUAUUAUAUUUAUCUGAUCCCAAGUGAUGUUAGUGGUAAAAACUAUUUUUUAAGAACAAUUGAAUUUUACAUUCAAAAAGCACCUUGAAAAUCUGGUUUUGGAGUUUCAUUAUCAUUAUAACUUGACAUGCCAUGGCUGGUCGAUAUUGAUCACACCAAUCUAACGACAAAAUAUUGAUUGCAUGCUGUUAUAGGACCCUUUAAAGUUGCAAAUAAAAUGAAAAAAGUAAUACAGAUCAAACCAAGUCUCUGCCUUCAUGAACUCUUUGAACAUCACACAAUCAACUUAACUCAUGAAAAACUUGGCGUAUUCUCAGAUUUGUCUAUUUAAAUUAGCUUGGCAGCAGGUAUUACUCGCUUCUAGCAUUGGUACCGAUAGUUGCAUUUGCAUUUUCUGCAUUAGAAUUCUCUGCACUCGGAGGUUGUUUCUCACUUUGUUGAGGGGAUUGACAUGAUGGUAUAUCAGGAGUCGCUGUCUUAGUUUUUGUUAUUAUAGGCCUACAGACAAAUGAACAGGGUUGUCAUAUUUCUGAAGAGCAUCAUGACGCUGACACUAGGUAUCGGAUUUUCUUUGAGAAAAAAAUUGUGAGGUGAUGAUUUUUCGAAGUCCAUUCAUGCACCUGGUGCAGGCCCCUUCCAUGAUAAUGAAAUUGGGAAAGGGAACCUUUUAUUGACCUAUAAUUCCUGCACUUUAAAGGUAAGACUGAGAAUAGCGCAUUGCAGUGCACAUUCUUUGGCCAAACAGUCACUUGCAUUCAUGGUACGGUUCUGUUCCUUGCCGAAAAACAUUGUCAAAAUCCUCAUAAUUGUAGGCCACUCAACAACCUCAACUGCAGGAAUUUCCUCAGUAGUAAGCCUAGCUUCAACAAGAAAUUUCUCCGGAGACUCUCCAAGAUAGGGAUGCUGAUUGUAACAACUAAUUUAAUCUUAUAAAAGAAAUAUUUUUGACAUGAAAAUAAGAUAAUUUUAAUUAUUUGACAAUACAAUUUAGUGUUGAGUUACAAAGUUAACAUACAACUAAGUAAAAUAAUAGUCCUUGUGCAACUUUUUGGGAUAAAAUAGGAGAUGCAGUUAACUCUCAUAACAUGUUCAAUAAGACUGUCUAUAACUUCAGAAAUCAUGGAUAAUUUAUUGUUAUCAGGUGGCGUUGGACAGUGAUACUGUGCAAGUUUAUCAUAAGCACUUAUGGUUACUUAAUGAGGAUAUGGUUAUAGCUUUUAAAACUUGAUCCUUUGGUCUUCUUAAUUCCACAAUCAAACAUAUUUUAUGCUAUGAGUGCUUGAUUCGUGAACUAUAAUUUUCAUGGUUACUACUUAUUUACCACAAUACUCCUGGAUUGGAUAAGUAUGUUAGUUUACCAUACAAAUGUUUAAGCUUUUAUUAUUUACCAUCAAGGCAUUUGAUUUUAUUGGUCAUGCUAAACAUAAUAGGAUAAUGGAUAAAAAUAUCAUCUACAAGUUUGAAGGAACCAGAUAAGAAUUAGACCAUUUGUCCUUUGGCUUCCUUAGCUUUCGCAGAAGCUUAGGAGUUGUUUUAUGUGAGGUAUACGAUAUAACAAUCUCGGGAUGAAAUAUAGAAUUAUUUUAUCCUACGUUUGAUUGGAGGUAUUAGGUAUUCUUUGGUUAUUUAUUCCACUAUUUAUACUACUGAUAAGUUAUCUCACAUACAUGGGGGAAUAACAAUAAGAGGAUAACUAACUUCCAACCAAAUGAUCCUUAGUGUACACCUUAAUGCAAACCCUAUCAUACGGUUGGAACUAUAAUUUCUUGCGAAUAUGUUAUCUUUAUAUAAUAUAUUUAAUAUGUUAUAAUUGUUCUAUGAUAACUAGUGUGAUGGAAAGUUAUGUUCUUAUUAAGUUCAUUUACUCAAGAUCAAGCAUACUGUUGUUAGCAUUUGAAGUGUCAUGUGUGCAGUAGGUGCAUUGGUUUUUUAAAAUAUCAAUUUGAAGUUUGAAAUUGCUAGAAAAGUGUCUACUUUCUAAUCUUCUACACAGAAUUAUAAAGUAAGUUUUCAAAAGGAAGAGGGAAAUUGUAUAAUUUUUUUUUAUAAUGUGAUGUACAUGAAGUAGAGUGACUCUUCUUAUCUUUCAAACUGAAUAUUGUCAAAUAAAGAUAUUUGUUAGAUCACCAGGUAGAAGUAGUUACAGUGAUUGCACCACUUACAUGCUCCUUUCUUCUUUAAUUAGUAGAGAAUAGUUACUUUAAAAUACAUGCUGCAAAUUCAUAAUGAUUUAAUUUUAGCACGUGUAUUUUUCUUUACUUUGCACAUUAACAGUUUCUCUGCAGAGUUUCUCUUAGUCAUACAUUUGAUGGUCAAAGAUGACUGCACAAUUCUUUUUAUAUCGGCAAGUAAUGCAUCCUGCAGUGUGCCACCUCUUUCAAACAUGAUCAACUGGAUUUCCACACCUGUUGUUCAAAUAUUCAAAACUUGUCUCCUGUUUUUACAGCUUGAGGGCCCAACAAUCUUCUAGCUUGACAUUACCAAAGAGCAACUAAAUCACCACAAAUAACUCUUUACAUUCAUGAAAAUACAAAAUAUUUUGAAGCAAGGCGUCAUCUUUGGUACUCCAUUGAUUUCGUAAGCUUUUAGUGAAUUCCUACCCCCCUCCUUUGACAAUUCUUUUCUCAAGUUCUUUAUUUUUAAAUUAUCUUUGUCUGCACAUUGAUCUGUGUUUUAUGGUAUUGUAGUAAACUUUUAUUUUAAUUUGUCAUUUGUUCCCCCCUUGAUUCUCAUAUCUACACCUAAUAUUUGAAAUUGUUAAAUUAAAUUAAAGGGUGUGGCUAAAUUUAUGAAAAUAUCUCAAGAAAACAUAUCGUACUUAUAUACUCUAGUAUUUAUUUGUUUUAAAAAAUAAAAGUAGGUAAGUAUGUUAUAUAUUCAAAAGUGGAACAACUUAGCACUAUGGCGGUGCUAAGGCAGUAAAUAAGUUAAAACCUUUUGUACGUAAACGAAAAGAAGGUUUCCUACGGUGGAAGUCCUAUCUUUGUAGAGUAACUAUGAAAUCUACUAUGUUAUUUUCGUCCUUUACAUCUUGUAUAUUACAUCAAAAUUAAAAACUUAUAGAAAAUUAUAUUUAAGUUGUUGUACAGUACUCAUCUUCCGUUCAAAACAUCACAUUUUUGCCUUCUAUAAAAUCCAACAUUUGCUGGCAUGGACUGUGAUGCAAUACUUGGCACUCUAUGUUUUUUUUUUCAAAAUUUUUUUGUACUUUAUUAGCUUUCUUUCUACUUAGUUUUGAUUUCCACCUAUCUUUUGGUUCUAUGUUCUCUAUCUUUUGAAAUACUUCCAUUAUGUCUCAGAUCUUUUUCUACUAAAUUAUAUGGAUGACUCCUGUUUUGUUUGUGGUUAAUCUUGAUUUUGUUGAAGAGAAAAGGAGAUAAACAUAGUAGAAAAAAUGUAUUAGAACUUUUCUUCUCAAGUUGACACAAAUUUGUUAUUUUGACAGAUAAAAUUUUUAUAUUUGAAGCACCAGCCUUCAUCUGAUUAGAGUGAAGUAGAAGUAUGAACAACUGAAAAUGAACGAACUAGUUGAAGCACAAAGUCUAUGAGAACAAAGUCUAGCACCAAGUGAAUAUGUUAUGGGUUGUAUCUCUACUUAAGAAGGAGAGUAGAGUACACUGUAUAUGUGAUUGAUAAGGAGACUAGAGUGCAUAAAAGACCUUGAUAUUCCUUAACCAUGUCCCUACAUGGGAUGUGUCCUAGUACUAUCCUUGGCAAGUAGAACACCCUCCAACGGAGUAGGGUAGACUUCGAAUUCCAUGCCUAGCUAGUAUGGUCUAUGUCGGUUAUUGCCUAUUCUAAUCAUGUGGGAUACAUACUAGUGUUGGAUAAGUACUAUGAAGUUUAGGUAGUGGAAUGAGACGCUAUCUAGACAUUGCAUGAUUAGGCUUUGAAGAUGUUAGUGUGCGAGUGCGCUAGGUCUUUUUUAAAACCAUUAUGUGAAUGUCCAUACGUAAUGAAUGUUUUCUAAAUGACUUUAGUAAAGAAAUUUUAUUUAAAAAGUAGUUAUCUAGAGUAUCUUUGAGGAUUGCUUAGGUAGGCUUGAAAAAGGUGUAUGAGCGGUCUCUUCAUGUCUUACUUAGGUGAGUCUUACAGUAACUAUAGGAAGGGAGUUUAACAAAUAAAGUGAUAAUGGUCUUAUCUUAGUAGUCUUAAUGAUCAUUUAGGUUUCUUAGAGAGGGUGUAUGGGAGGUCUCUCUUCGUAUCACUUAAGCGAGUCUUUGGAUAACCUUUGGUGAAAGGGUAGCAAGUUAAAAGAGGUGACUGUGAAGUUGAACUUAGUUCACUGUAAAGUGACAUAGUUCACUAUAACAUUCUCCAAUAUUUGAUAAAAUGCAUAUCUUAUAUGUUUCUAUGGUGUUUAAUGUUGUUCUUAUGCUUAUACUAUGAUAUUUUAAUAAAAAAGACCAUGUUUUAUACAAAAGUCUGUUUGUCAUGAUUUAUACAUUAUGCCAUACUUACUAAAAGUGUUUGUACUAAUUCCAUACAUUUUUUCUAUCUCUAAAGGUAUAGGUCGCGUUUGAGAAGUCUCGAAGUGGAAGCUUGGAUUAGUGAUUCAUUCAAGUAAAGAGUUGGUAUGUCGUCACUAGAUUUGAGGACGUCUUGAUGUUUAGAUUUCCUUAUUGAAAGUAUUGUAAUAGACUUAGCUAUAUUCUAUGUGAUGAAUUAUGGUCCGUGUCCUAAUUUAUUCGUAUGUCUAAGAUGACGACUUUGAGACUUAGACUUCCAUUAUGUUUUUCUAUAAAAGAGAUAUUUUAAAGUAUUAUUAUUUCAUGU